CUUCGGGGUUCCUGGGUGUCACGCAGAUCUCACUGGGGCCUCCAAAUGAAAGAACCUAGUAGGGAAAACCCCACUCAAUUCCCGAUUCGGUGUGCACCCAAGAAUCACAAACAGACAA
rnacentral:pre_miRNA from 7 species